rnacentral:rRNA from 1 species
GCAUCGAUGAAGAACGUAGCAAAAUGCGAUAAGUAAUGUGAAUUGCAGAAUUCAGUGAAUCAUCGAAUCUUUGAACGCACAUUGCGCCC